UGCUUUUCUCAAAUCAAAUUGGUACAGGAUCAUACCCAAACGGUCAAAACGUGCACAUAUUAGCCUUAUUAAAGAUUUAUGAAAAAAUCCAAAAAAUAAAAAAUCAAUUACUUAGAUGCUUUUCUCAAAUCAAAUUGGUACAGGAUCAUACCCAAACAGUCAAAACGUGCACAUAUUUGCCUUAUUAAAUAUUUAUGAAAAAAUCCAAAAAAUAAAAAAUCAAUUACUGAGAUGCUUUUCUCAAAUCAAAUUGGUACAGGAUCAUACCCAAACAGCCGUGCACAUAUUUACCUUAUUAAAGAUUUACGAAAAAAAUCCUCGAAUGGUCACAUACAUGCUUUUCCCAUACAAAAUUACCCAUAUUGGCUAAGAGGCAUAAAAAAUGUGAAGUUGCAAGAAGUUAGGAGUGUUUGCACAUACCAGAGAGAGACGAACAAAUUGGCUCACCAUUCAAGUUAAGCGUCACGAAAUUUCAAUCAAGCAGGACGUGCAAAUAGGGUCGAAUAAAAAUCAC
rnacentral:lncRNA from 1 species